rnacentral:lncRNA from 1 species
GAGAAAAUGAUUUCUAACAACCAUUGGAUGUGAGCAGAGAAAAAUAAUAGAGGCACAGAGAUGAGUUUAAAUCAGUGAUACAUGAACUUUGGUGUAAGUCAAAAUUGCCAACUCUCCAGUGCUGAUCCAUGGGGCAUUAAUGAGGAGGAAAUCAAAGGCCAAACAGCUGAAUUACAUGAAAUGACAAAGGAAGAGACAAAAAUCAGACCAAUAAGGUGCUUGGCACACUCAAAGAAGAUGUAACUGAACAGGUCUCCGUUGCUUAGAUAAGAUGGCAUUGAGAAGGGGAAGCUGAACACUGUUCCCUGACUGCAUGGUCUUAGUACAUCAUUGACCUAACAUCAAAGAGACACCCUAUGAAUGUAAUGAAUGUGGGAAAGCCUUGAGCCAUCCGCCAGCUUUCAUUCAGCACCAGCGGAUUCAUACUGGAGAGAUUCUAUGAAUGUACUGAAUGUGG